UACGAAGGGGGCUAGCGUUGUUCGGAAUCACUGGGCGUAAAGGGCGCGUAGGCGGCUUGAUAAGUCGGGGGUGAAAGCCUGUGGCUCAACCACAGAAUUGCCUUCGAUACUGUCUGGCUCGAGACCGGAAGAGGUAAGUGGAACUGCGAGUGUAGAGGUGAAAUUCGUAGAUAUUCGCAAGAACACCAGUGGCGAAGGCGGCUCACUGGCCCGAUACUGACGCUGAGGCACGGAAAGCGUGGGGAGCAAACAGGG
rnacentral:rRNA from 1 species